AUGCCAGCAGCAGCCAUGCCCGAGGAAAUCCACAGCUCGCAGCCGUCGGACGCCGCCAUCCGCGCGAAGGGCCGCCGCCCGCACCUCCCACCACAGCACGCCGCAAUGGAGGCCGACCGCCCAUGGCAUCGCCCGAGCUCACCUCCCAGCAGUCGCUCUCCUUUCAAUUCGUCGGGAUCCGGCUAGAUCCGGAUGCCAGUGCCCCGUUCCUACUUCCGCGCCUCGCUUGGGUCGUCGGCCACCUCGACGAUGUGAUACCACUCGCGGGAUCCAACGCCACUGCUGGCUAGCCACUUCCUCCUGGAGGAGACGCCCCCACAUCGGCGCGUCCCCACAUGAGCAGCAGCAACAAACGCCUCGCUAUGGGCGUCUCUGGUGGCGCUUUUUCUUGUAAUUUUUUUUAAAGAACUUUGCCAGAUCUGUCCGUGAAAAACAAUGGCGUUGAACUCCGAUUGAUGUCCCGCGAAGGCUGGGCGGCGCUUGAUGCGGUGGCUGCAGAAUAUCUCCGGGCAAAAUAGUAGGCCAGAUCUAGGGGAAAAAAACUGUAAUUCCAAGUUUUUGGUUGUGUAUUUCUUCCUUUUGGUAAAAAUAAAAUUUAGUUAUCUGGUA